rnacentral:rRNA from 1 species
UACGUAGGGAGCAAGCGUUGUCCGGAAUCAUUGGGCGUAAAGCGCGCGUAGGUGGCCCCAUAAGUCCGCUGUGAAAGUCAAAGGCUCAACCUUUGAAAGCCGGUGGAUACUGUGGGACUAGAGUACGGAAGAGACGAGUGGAAUUCCUGGUGUAGCGGUGGAAUGCGCAGAUAUCAGGAGGAACACCAAUAGCGAAGGCAGCUCGCUGGGACGUUACUGACACUGAGGCGCGAAAGCGUGGGGAGCGAACAGG